CCUACGGGUGGCAGCAGUGGGGAAUAUUGCACAAUGGGGGAAACCCUGAUGCCGCGACGCCGCGUGAGUGAAGAAGUAAUUCGUUACGUAACGCUCUAUCAGCAGGGAAGUAACACUGACCUUACGGUCAGCAGACGGUACCUGAGUAAGAAGCGCCGGCUAACUACGUGCCAGCAGGCGCGGUAAUCCGUAGGGGGCAAGCGUUAUCCGGAUUUACUGGGUGUAAAGGGAGCGUAGACGGUGCGCCAAGUCUGGAGGGAAAUGCCGCAGCUUAACGGCGGAACUGCGUUGGAAACUGGCGAACUAGAGUGCGGGAGGGGUAAGCGGAAUUCAUAGUGUAGCGGUGAAAUGCGUAGAUAUUAGGAGGAACACCGGUGGCGAAGGCGGCUUACUAGACCAUAACUGACGUUGAGGCUCGAAAGCGUGGGGAGCAAACAGGAUUAGAUACCCCGGUAGUC
rnacentral:rRNA from 1 species